CUGCUGCCUUCCGUAGGAGUUUGGGCCGUGUCUCAGUCCCAAUGUGGCCGUCCACCCUCUCAGGCCGGCUACUGAUCGUCGCUUUGGUAGGCCGUUACCCUGCCAACUGGCUAAUCAGACGCGGGCCCAUCUUAUACCACCGGAGUUUUUCACCCUGGGCCAUGCGGCCCUGGGCGCUUAUGCGGUCUUAGCACCCAUUUCUAAGUGUUAUCCCCCUGUAUAAGGCAGGUUACCCACGCGUUACUCACCCGUCCGCCACUAAAGUAAAAA
rnacentral:rRNA from 1 species